ensembl:snoRNA
GGGCUGAUGAUGAGCUGGGUGUUAUGAGCAUGAAUGAAAUGAGGCUCGAAAUGAUUACUCUGAGGUCC